UUGGAGGGCAAGUCUGGUGCCAGCAGCCGCGGUAAUUCCAGCUCCAAUAGCGUAUAUUAAAGUUGUUGCAGUUAAAAAGCUCGUAGUUGAAUUUCGUGAUCAAUAUACCGGUCGUGCCUCAGGUAUGAACUGGUCUUAUUGGUUUCUCCCUUCUGACGAACCAUGAUGUCAUUAAUUUGAUGUCGUGGAGAAUCAGGACUGUUACUUUGAAAAAAUUAGAGUGUUUAAAGCAGGCUAACGCUUGAAUACAUUAGCAUGGAAUAAUGAAAUAGGACGUUUGAUUCUAUUUUGUUGGUUUCUAGGAUUGACGUAAUGAUUAAUAGGGAUAGUUGGGGGCAUUAGUAUUCAAUUGUCAGAGGUGAAAUUCUUGGAUUUAUUGAAGACUAACUACUGCGAAAGCAUUUGCCAAGGAUGUUUUCAUUAAUCAAGAACGAAAGUUAGGGGAUCGAAGACGAUCAGAUACCGUCGUAGUCUUAACCAUAAACUAUGCCGACUAGGGAUCGGAUGAUGUUAAUUUUUUAAUGACUCAUUCGGCGCCUUACGGGAAACCAAAGUGUUUGGGUUC
rnacentral:rRNA from 1 species